ACGUCGCGGUCGAGGACUAGUUAGAAACGACCGUGUUCAAUGGCGAUUUGCGACACCGAGACGUGUAUUCGUUGUCCUAUUCUGAUCGGCUAACCUGUGUUUUGCGUGAAGCCGGAAAAUAUGCCACCAGAAGUUUACGCAAGGUAUCGUUAACUUCACUGCUUCGAGUCACCAUUGUGUCGAAGCUUUCCCGCCAUGUCGACAAGCGAACAAGUUUUAUGGAUAUCGCUAUAUGGUAGCAAACAGAAGUGCCCUAAUGAACUGUGCAGUGCUGACCACACGCUGAGCGAGCAUCCCUUAAGAGGUGCUUAUUCAGCAUCUGUGGCUAACUCAAAGACCAUCUUGCUAAUUCAUACAGAGUGCUGCAGCAAUCGCAUUGUGUGGACAUUCUACAAAAACUGGCCCAAAUGCGGACAGAAGGUAGUAGAGAUGGACACACAGAAGCCAUCAGGCUGCCUCAGAAACUGUGACUGAUCAAUAACCUGAAUGAGCACUGUUUCGGCCUUACCUGGUGCAGAAAAACAUAUUGUCCCUGCGCUUCACUAUGAUGGACAGCUUGUUUUUCAAGUGUAGU